GCCACUUUGGCUCAGGGGUAGAGCAGCUCACUCGUAAUGAGCAGGUCCCCGGUUCGAAUCCGGGAAGUGGCUCCA
rnacentral:tRNA from 2 species